rnacentral:rRNA from 1 species
CCUACGGGAGGCAGCAGUGGGGAAUCUUGCGCAAUGGGCGAAAGCCUGACGCAGCCAUGCCGCGUGAAUGAUGAAGGUCUUAGGAUUGUAAAAUUCUUUCACCGGGGACGAUAAUGACGGUACCCGGAGAAGAAGCCCCGGCUAACUUCGUGCCAGCAGCCGCGGUAAUACGAAGGGGGCUAGCGUUGCUCGGAAUUACUGGGCGUAAAGGGAGCGUAGGCGGAUAGUUUAGUCAGAGGUGAAAGCCCAGGGCUCAACCUUGGAAUUGCCUUUGAUACUGGCUAUCUUGAGUACGGAAGAGGUAUGUGGAACUCCGAGUGUAGAGGUGAAAUUCGUAGAUAUUCGGAAGAACACCAGUGGCGAAGGCGACAUACUGGUCCGUUACUGACGCUGAGGCUCGAAAGCGUGGGGAGCAAACAGGAUUAGAUACCCUGGUAGUCCACGCUGUAAACGAUGAGUGCUAGUUGUCGGCAGGCAUGCCUGUCGGUGACGCAGCUAACGCAUUAAGCACUCCGCCUGAGGAGUACGGUCGCAAGAUUAAAACUUAAGGAAUUGACG